UACGUAGGGUGCGAGCGUUGUCCGGAAUUAUUGGGCGUAAAGAGCUUGUAGGCGGUUUGUCGCGUCUGCUGUGAAAAUCCGGGGCUCAACCCCGGACUUGCAGUGGGUACGGGCAGGCUAGAGUGCGGUAGGGGAGACUGGAAUUCCUGGUGUAGCGGUGAAAUGCGCAGAUAUCAGGAGGAACACCGGUGGCGAAGGCGGGUCUCUGGGCCGUAACUGACGCUGAGGAGCGAAAGCGUGGGGAGCGAACAGG
rnacentral:rRNA from 1 species